UGCAGAAGCAGCCAACAACUUCCGCUCGGCUGCGACCUCUGAACUGCGACGCUAUUGGUCAACGCAGCCACGUCACCGGCCGAGCGGCCAAGGAUACAGGCUACGCUUGAGCUCGGUCUUAAACAUGUAAAAUGAUUUUAUCCUGCGCCGUGAUUAGUGGAACAGGACUCUCAGGAAAUGACUGCAUGCUUUUAGUUAAAGUCAAACCGCUCAGGCUUACCUGUUUGGAAGAAUCCAUGUUGAGUUAGUGACCAGAGAGCAGACACAGACCUGCCAGUCCGGUUCUCAUUGGCUGCGGACGUUUGAAAUUUAGAUCAUCUGUUCUCUGGCAUCAGAGGGCAAGAGGUGCAUGGACGGCAUCCUUGGUGGUUCCAAUUUCCAGCCCAUUCCCCAAUUUUCAACCCCAAUGACAGACAACACACGCUUCAAUGGCUGUUCAGCUAAAGGAGGGAACUGAAGCGGACCGUAUAAUGAUGGACUGCUGGUUUCCUGUGGUAUUGAUGCCAGCUGGCAGAGUGCAGUUAACAUACACUUCAUAAUGUAUUGAUACAUAUAUAUUAUCACAUUUACAUUGUUUUAGAAUUUGGUGUAAAGAAGGAAAAUAAAAAAA